GGGAUAACACUUGGAAACAGGUGCUAAUACCGUAUAACACUAUUUUCCGCAUGGAAGAAAGUUGAAAGGCGCUUUUGCGUCACUGAUGGAUGGACCCGCGGUGCAUUAGCUAGUUGGUGAGGUAACGGCUCACCAAGGCCACGAUGCAUAGCCGACCUGAGAGGGUGAUCGGCCACACUGGGACUGAGACACGGCCCAGACUCCUACGGGAGGCAGCAGUAGGGAAUCUUCGGCAAUGGACGAAAGUCUGACCGAGCAACGCCGCGUGAGUGAAGAAGGUUUUCGGAUCGUAAAACUCUGUUGUUAGAGAAGAACAAGGAUGAGAGUAGAACGUUCAUCCCUUGACGGUAUCUAACCAGAAAGCCACGGCUAACUACGUGCCAGCAGCCGCGGUAAUACGUAGGUGGCAAGCGUUGUCCGGAUUUAUUGGGCGUAAAGCGAGCGCAGGCGGUUUCUUAAGUCUGAUGUGAAAGCCCCCGGCUCAACCGGGGAGGGUCAUUGGAAACUGGGAGACUUGAGUGCAGAAGAGGAGAGUGGAAUUCCAUGUGUAGCGGUGAAAUGCGUAGAUAUAUGGAGGAACACCAGUGGCGAAGGCGGCUCUCUGGUCUGUAACUGACGCUGAGGCUCGAAAGCGUGGGGAGCGAACAGGAUUAGAUACCCUGGUAGUCCACGCCGUAAACGAUGAGUGAUAAGUGUUGGAGGGUUUCCGCCCUUCAGUGCUGCAGCA
rnacentral:rRNA from 1 species